rnacentral:rRNA from 1 species
AGAGUUUGAUCCUGGCUCAGGAUGAACGCUGGCGGUAUGCCUAACACAUGCAAGUCGUACGAGAGUUUUUAACUCAAGUGGCGGACGGGUGAGUAACACGUGAGAAUUUGCCUUUAGGAGGGGGAUAACAGAGUGAAAACGCUGCUAACACCCCAUAUGCUUUCGAGUGAAAUGGAUUUAUUCGCCUAAAGAGAAGCUCGCGGCUGAUUAGCUUGUUGGCAAGGUAAUGGCUUACCAAGGCGACGAUCAGUAUCUGGUUUGAGAGGACGAUCAGACACACUGGAACUGAGACACGGUCCAGACUCCUACGGGAGGCAGCAGUGGGGAAUUUUCCGCAAUGGGCGAAAGCCUGACGGAGCAAUACCGCGUGAGGGAAGACGGCCUAUGGGUUGUAAACCUCUUUUCUCAGGGAGGAACUCAAUGACGUUACCUGAGGAAUAAGCAUCGGCUAACUCCGUGCCAGCAGCCGCGGUAAGACGGAGGAUGCAAGUGUUAUCCGGAAUCACUGGGCGUAAAGCGUCUGUAGGUGGCUUAACAAGUCAACUGUUAAAUCUUGAAGCUCAACUUCGAAAUCGCAGUCGAAACUGUUAGGCUAGAGUAUAGUAGGGGUAAAGGGAAUUUCCAGUGGAGCGGUGAAAUGCGUAGAGAUUGGAAAGAACACCGAUGGCGAAGGCACUUUACUGGGCUAUUACUGACACUCAGAGACGAAAGCUAGGGUAGCAAAUGGGAUUAGAUACCCCAGUAGUCCUAGCCGUAAACAAUGGAUACUAGAUGUUGGGCAGAUCGACCUGUUCAGUAUUAAAGCUAACGCGUUAAGUAUCCCGCCUGGGAAGUAUGCGCGCAAGCGUGAAACUCAAAGGAAUUGACGGGGGCCCGCACAAGCGGUGGAGCAUGUGGUUUAAUUCGAUGCAACGCGAAGAACCUUACCAGGGUUUGACAUGAUACCAAAUUUUUUUGAAAGAAAAAAAUGGCCGUUUGGAACGUAUACACCAGGUGGUGCAUGGGCUGUCCUCCACCUCCUGUCCCGGGAAAGUUUGGGUUUAAUUCCCCCCACCAAGAGCCACCCCUUAUUUUUAAUUGGCCCUUUUAUGGAAACCUACGAAAGACAGCUGGGUUUUUAAACCCGCA